rnacentral:rRNA from 1 species
AAAGCGUGGGGAGCGAACAGGAUUAGAUACCCUGGUAGUCCACGCCGUAAACGAUGAGUGCUAAGUGUUAGGGGGUUUUCCCCCCUUAGUGCUGCAGCUAACGCAUUAAGCACUCCGCCUGGGGAGUACGGUCGCAAGACUGAAACUCAAAGGAAUUGACGGGGGCCCGCACAAGCGGUGGAGCAUGUGGUUUAAUUCGAAGCAACGCGAAGAACCUUACCAGGUCUUGACAUCCUCUGACAAUCCUAGAGAUAGGACGUCCCCUUCGGGGGCAGAGUGACAGGUGGUGCAUGGUUGUCGUCAGCUCGUGUCGUGAGAUGUUGGGUUAAGUCCCGCAACGAGCGCAACCCUUGAUCUUAGUUGCCAGCAUUCAGUUGGGCACUCUAAGGUGACUGCCGGUGACAAACCGGAGGAAGGUUGGGGAUGACGUCAAAUCAUCAUGCCCCUUAUGACCUGGGCUACACACGUGCUACAAUGGACAGAACAAAGGGC